UACAUGGGGUGCAAACGUUGCUCGGAAUUAUUGGGCGUAAAGCGCACGUAGGCGGUUCGUUAAGUCGGAUGUGAAAGCCCUCGGCUCAACUGAGGAAGUGCACCCGAAACUGGCGAGCUUGAGGCAUUCAGGGGCGAGCGGAACAAAUGGUGGAGCGGUGAAAUGCGUAGAUAUCAUUUGGAACGCCAAUGGUGAAAACAGCUCGCUGGGAAUGAUCUGACACUGAGACGCGAAAGCCAGGGGAGCGAACGGG
rnacentral:rRNA from 1 species